AAAAAAGACACAGACGUGCAGAAGUUUAGAGCCUAACACUAGAAAAGGCUCUAACGAAUGUGAGUUUAUAUAUUCACUUAUUUCACCAAUCGCUCUAUUUAAAGACAUAUUACACUAUUAUCUGUAUAUGUUCUUUUUUCUUCUUUUUUAUGUACCAUAUUGUAUCAAGAGAAACGAUAAAGGGUAAGAGUUCCAAGAUCUAGUGAACACACUUACCUAAGCACUUAUAUAGCGCUGCACUCAUUUAAAGCACUUUAGAUUUGGGUGGUGGUAACAUCAUCCGGGUCAAAAAGUUUCUUUAUGUUCUGGUGAUUGUCUAUGUGUAGUGGGUAAUUAGGAGUACCCACAGAGUGUACACAGCAGCUGUACCAUAUUUCCUUUUGUUUAUAACACAAAGCGCCAUUUAUUCCACAUUUUUUCGUGUAUAUUCAAUACA